rnacentral:rRNA from 1 species
GGACUACCAGGGUUUCUAAUCCUGUUCGCUCCCCACGCUUUCGCUCCUCAGCGUCAGUAUCGGCCCAGAGAUCCGCCUUCGCCACCGGUGUUCCUCCUGAUAUCUGCGCAUUCCACCGCUACACCAGGAAUUCCGAUCUCCCCUGCCGAACUCAAGCCCGCCCGUAUCGGAGGCAGACCCGCGGUUGAGCCGCGGGCUUUCACCUCCGACGCGACGAGCCGCCUACGAGCUCUUUACGCCCAAUAAAUCCGGACAACGCUCGCGCCCUACGUAUUACCGCGGCUGCUGGCAC